GCGAUACAGAGAAGAUUAACAUGGUCCCUGCGCAAUGAUGACACGUGAAUUCGUGAAGCGUUGCAUAUUUUU
rnacentral:snRNA from 1 species